rnacentral:misc_RNA from 1 species
AAGUCGUAACAAGGUUUCCGUAGGUGAACCUGCGGAAGGAUCAUUAAAGAAUUCGGCUUCGCGGCCAAGUUCUCACCCUUUGUAUACCGAAACUAUGUUGCUUUGGCAGGCCCCUGAAUUUCUCGGGCCUGCCAGAGGGUUUAUAAAACCCCUAGGAACUCCUCUGCCUGAUCUGAGUACUAUGCAAUAGUUAAAA